GACACUGUCCGGUGCGCCAGACCAGGGCACACUUCGGUUAUCCCUUUGCUCUCUUGAUGAACCCAAUUCUUGGUCUUUUUAUUGGCUAAGUGUGAACCUUUGGCACCUGUAUAACUUAUACACUAGAGCAAACUAGUUAGUCCAAUUUAUUUGUGUUGGGCAAUUCAACCACCAAAAUCAUUUAGGAAAUAGGUGUAAGCCUAAUUCCCUUUCAAUCUCCCCCUAUUUGGUGAUUGAUGCCAACACAAACCAAAGCAAGUAUGAAAUACAUAAAUUGAACUAGAACCAAAGUUCUUUUGCAAAUAGUCAAAGAUAAAUGAAUAAGAUUUUUGCGAAGCAUUUUCAAGAUUUGAAAUUUUCUCCCCCUGUUUCAAAUGCUUUUCCUUUGACUAAAACAAAACUCCCCCUCAAUGGAGUUCUCCUCUUAGUGUUCAAGAGGGUUUUGAUGUAUCAAUUUUGAAAUACUUCUGUCUCCCCCUUUGGAACAUAAUAGGAUACCAAUUUGAAAUUUCCAAUUGAAAAUUAUUUUAAAAUGAGGUGGUGGUGCGGUCCUUUUGCUUUGGGCUAAUACUUUCUCCCCCUUUGGCAUUCGCCAAAAACGGAGUCAUUAGAGCCCUAUUAGUAACUUUCUCCCCCUUUGGUCAUAAAUAAAUGAGUGAAGAUUAUACCAAAGUAGGAGAGAUGCUCUCUCCCCCAAAGAUGGAGAGUUGCGCGGAGCGACGGCGAAGUAUGAGUUACGAAGUGGAAGCCUUUGUCUUUGCCGAAGACUCCAAUUCCCUUUCAAUAUACUUAUGACUUGGUUUGAAAUAGACUUGAAAACACAUUAGUCAUAGUACAUGAAAGAGACAUGAUCAAAAGUAUAUUAAUGAGCUAUGUGUGCAAAUCAACAAAAGAAGUUUCUAGAAUCAAGAAUAUUUAGCUCAUGCCUAAGUUUGUUAAAGGUUUGUUCAUCAAGAGGCUUGGUAAAGAUAUCAGCUAAUUGAUCUUUAGUGUUGAUAUAUGAAAUCUCGAUAUCUCCCUUUUGUUGGUGAUCCCUUAGAAAAUGAUAUCGAAUGGCUAUGUGUUUAGUGCGGCUAUGCUCAACGGGAUUAUCCGCCAUGCGGAUUGCACUCUCAUUAUCACAUAGAAGAGGAACUUUGGUUAGUUUGUAACCGUAGUCCCUAAGGGUUUGCCUCAUCCAAAGUAGUUGCGCGCAACAAUGGCCUGCGGCAAUGUACUCGGCCUCAGCAGUAGAAAGAGCUACAGAAUUUUGUUUCUUUGAAGCCCAAGAUACCAAGGAUCUUCCCAAGAACUGGCAAGUCCCCGAUGUGAUCUUUCUAUUAAUUUUACACCCCGCCCAAUCGGCAUCCGAAUAACCAAUUAAAUCAAAAGUGGAUCCCCUAGGAUACCAAAGCCCAAACUUAGGAGUAUAAACUAAAUAUCUCAAGAUUCGUUUUACGGCCGUAAGGUGAGCUUCCUUAGGGUCGACUUGGAAUCUUGCACACAUGCAUACGGAAAGCAUAAUAUCCGAUCGAGAUGCAUAUAAAUAUAGCAAAGAGCCUAUCAUCGACCGGUAUACCUUUUGAUCGACGGAUUUACCUCCCUCGUCGAGCUCGAGAUGCCCAUUGGUUCCCAUGGGUGUCUUGAUGGGUUUGGCAUCCUUCAUUCCAAACUUGCUUAGAAUAUCUUGAGUAUACUUCGUUUGGCUUAAGAAGGUGCCCUCUUGGAGUUGCUUCACUUGAAAUCCUAAGAAAUACUUCAACUCCCCCAUCAUAGACAUCUCGAAUUUUUGUGUCAUGAUCCUACUAAAUUCUUCACAUGUAGACUCGUUAGUAGACCCAAAUAUAAUAUCAUCAAUAUAAAAUUGGCAUACAAAUAAGUCAUUUUCAAGAGUUUUGGUGAAUAAAGUAGGAUCGGCCUUUCCGACUUUGAAUCCAUUAGUGAUAAGAAAAUCUCUAAGGCAUUCAUACCAUGCUCUUGGGGCUUGCUUGAGCCCAUAAAGCGCCUUAGAGAGUUUAUACACAUGGUUAGGGUGCUCACUAUCUUCAAAGCCGGGAGGUUGCUCAACAUAGACCUCUUCCUUGAUUGGUCCAUUGAGGAAAGCACUGUUCACGUCCAUUUGAUAAAGCUUGAAGCCAUGGUAAGUAGCAUAGGCCAAUAAUAUGCGAAUUGACUCAAGCCUAGCUACGGGUGCAUAGGUUUCACCGAAAUCCAAACCUUCGACUUGGGAGUAUCCUUUGGCCACAAGUCGAGCUUUGUUCCUUGUCACCACACCAUGCUCGUCUUGCUUGUUGCGGAAGACCCAUUUGGCUCCUACAACAUUUUGAUUAGGACGUGGAACUAAAUGCCAUACCUCAUUCCUAGUGAAGUUGUUGAGCUCCUCUUGCAUCGCCACCACCCAAUACGAAUCUUGAAGUGCUUCCUCUACCCUGUGUGGCUCAAUAGAGGAAACAAAAGAGUAAUGCUCACAAAAAUGUGCAACACGAGAUCUAGUGGUUACUCCCUUAUGAAUGUCGCCGAGGAUGGUGUCGACGGGGUGAUCUCGUUGGAUUGCUUGGUGGACUCUUGGGUGUGGCGGUCUUUGUUCUUCAUCCUCCUUAUCUUGAUCAUUUACAUCUCCCCCUUGAUCGUUGCCGUCAUCUUGAAGUGGCUCAUUUGUUUGAUCUUCUCCUUCAUCAACUUGAGCCUCAUCUUCAUUUUGAGUUUGUGGAGAUGCUUGCGUAGAGGAGGAUGGUUGAUCUUGUGCAUUUGGAGGCUCUUCGGAUUCCUUAGGACACACAUCCCCAAUGGACAUGUUCCUUCGCGCGAUGCACGGAGCCUCUUCGUCACCUAUCUCAUCAAGAUCAACUUGCUCUACUUGAGAGCCGUUAGUCUCAUCAAACACAACGUCACAAGAAACUUCAACUUGUCCAGAGGACUUGUUAAAGACUCUAUAUGCCCUUGUGUUUGAAUCAUAUCCUAGUAAAAAGCCUUCUACAGUCUUAGGAGCAAAUUUAGAUUUUCUACCUCUUUUAACAAGUAUAAAGCAUUUGCUACCAAAGACUCUAAAGUAUGAAAUAUUGGGCUUUUUACCGGUUAGGAGUUCAUAUGAUGUCUUCUUGAGGAUUCGGUGUAGAUAUAACCGGUUGAUGGCGUAGCAGGCGGUGUUGACCGCCUCGGCCCAAAACUGAUCCGAUGUCUUGUACUCAUCAAGCAUGGUUCUUGCCAUGUCCAAUAGAGUUCUAUUCUUCCUCUCCACUACACCAUUUUGUUGAGGGGUGUAGGGAGAAGAGAACUCAUGCUUGAUGCCCUCCUCCUCAAGGAAGCCUUCAAUUUGAGAAUUCUUGAACUCCGUCCCGUUGUCGCUUCUAAUCUUUUUGAUCCUUAAUUCGAACUCAUUUUGAGCCCGUCUCAAGAAUCCCUUUAAUGUUUCUUGGGUAUGAGAUUUUUCCUGUAAAAAGAACACCCAAGUGAAGCGAGAAUAAUCAUCCACAAUAACUAGACAGUACUUACUCCCGCCGAUGCUUAUGUAAGCUAUCGGGCCGAAUAGAUCCAUGUGUAGGAGCUCAAGUGGCAUGUCGGUCGUUAUGAUGUUCUUGUGUAGAUGAUGGGCACCAACUUGCUUCCCUGCUUGGCAUGCGCUACAAAUCCUGUCUUUCUCAAAAUGAACAUUUGUUAAUCCUAAAAUGUGCUCUCCCUUUAGAAGCUUAUGAAGAUUCUUCAUCCCAACAUGGGCUAGUCGACGGUGCCAGAGCCAACCCAUGUUAGUCUUAGCAAUUAAGCAAGUGUCGAGUUCAGCUCUAUCAAAGUCUACCAAGUAUAGCUGACCCUCUAACAAUCCCUUAAAUGCUAUUGAAUCAUCACUUCUUCUAAAGACAAUGACACCUACAUCAGUGAAUAGACAGUUGUAGCCCAUUUUGCAUAAUUGAGAUACAGAAAGCAAAUUGUAAUCUAAUGAAUCUACAAGAAAAACAUUUGAAAUAGAAUGGUCAAGAGAUAUAGCAAUUUUACCCAAUCCUUUGACCAAACCUUGAUUUCCAUCCCCGAAUGUGAUAGCUCGUUGGGGAUCUUGGUUUUUUCUCAUAGGAGGAGAACAUCUUUUUCUCCCCUGUCAUGUGGUUUGUGCACCCGCUGUCGAUGAUCCAACUUGAGCCCCCGGAUGCAUAAACCUACAAAACAUGUUUAGUUCUUGACUUUAGGUACCCAAAUGGUUUUGGGUCAUUUGGCAUUAGAAACAAGAACUUUGGGUACCCAAACACAAGUCUUUGACCCUUUGUGCUUGCCCCCAACAUACUUGGCAACUACCUUGUCGGAUUUGUUAGUUAAAACAUAAGAUGCAUCAAAAGUUUUAAAUGAAAUGUCAUGAUCAUUUGAUGCACUAGGAGUUUUCUUCUUAGGCAACUUAGCACGGGUUGGUUGCCUAGAACUAGGUGUCUCACCCUUAUACAGAAAAACAUGAUUAGGGCCAGAGUGAGACUUCCUAGAGUGAAUUCUCCUAAUUUUGCUCUCAGGAUAGCCGGUAGGGUAUAAAAUGUAACCCUCGUUAUCCUGAGGCAUGGUAGCCUUGCCCUUAACAAAAUUAGACAAUUUCUUAGGAGGGGUAUUAAGUUUGACAUUGCCUCUCUGUUGGAAGCCAAUGCCAUCCUUAAUGCCAGGGCGUCUCCCACUAUAAAGCAUACUGCGAGCAAAUUUAAAUUUUUCAUUUUCAAUUUCAUGCUCGGCAAUUUUUGCAUCUAGUUUAGCUAUAUGAUCAUUUUGUUGUUUAAUUAAAGCCAUAUGAUCAUGUAUAGCAUUAAUAUCAACAUCUCUACAUCUAGUGCAAAUAGUAGUGUGCUCAACGGUAGAUGUAGAUGGUUUGCAAAAUUUUAAUUCUACAACCUUAGCAUGCAAUAUAUCAUUUUUACUUCUAAGGUCGGAAAUGGUAGUAUUGCAAACAUCAAAAUCUUUAGCCUUAGCACGCAAUUUUUCAUUUUCAUCUCUAAGGCUAGCAAGAGAAAUGUUCAAUUCUUCAAUCUUAGCAAGCAAACCAUCAUUAUCAUUUCUAAGAUUGGGAAUUGAAACAUUACAAGCAAUAGAAUCAACCUUAGCUAAUAAAUUAGCAUUCUCAUUUCUAAGGUUGUCUAUAGUCUCAUGGCAAGUGCUUAGUUCACUAGAUAAUUUUUCACAUUUUUCAACUUCUAGAGAAUAAACAUUUUUAACUUUAACAUGCUUUUUGUUUUCCUUGAUUAGGAAGUCCUCUUGGGAGUCCAAGAGAUCAUCCUUCUCAUGGAUGGCACUAAUUAAUUCAUUUAAUUUUUCUUUUUGUUGCAUGUUUAAGUUGGCAAAAAUGGUACGCAAAUUAUCUUCCUCAUCACUAGCAUUAUCAUCACUAGAGGACUCAUAUCUAGUGGAGGAUUUGGAUUUAACCUUCUUCUUUUUGUUGUCCUUUGCCAUGAGGCACUUGUGGCCGACGUUGGGGAAGAGAAGUCCCUUGGUGACGGCGAUGUUGGCGGCGUCCUCGUCGUCGGAGGAAUCAGUAGAGCUUUCGUCGGAGUCCCACUCGCGACAAACAUGGGUAUCGCCGCCCUUCUUCUUGUAGUACCUCUUCUUCUCCUUUCUUCUCCCCUUCUUAUCGUCGCCCCUGUCACUGUCACUAGAAAUAGGACAUUUUGCUAUAAAGUGAUCGGGCUUACCACACUUGUAGCAAACCUUCUUGGAGCGGGGCUUGUAAUCUUUCCCCCUCCUUUGCUUGAGGAUUUGGCGGAAGCUCUUGAUGACGAGCACCAUUUCCUCAUUGUCGAGCUUGGAGGCGUCGAUGGGCGUUCUACUCGGUGUAGACUCCUCCUUCUUCUCCUCCGUCGCCUUAAAUGCGACCGGUUGUGCUUCGGACGUGGAGGGACCGUCAAGCUCGUUGAUCUUCCGUGAGCCCUUGAUCAUAAAUUCAAAGCUCACAAAAUUCCCGAUUACUUCCUCGGGAGUCAUUAGUGUAUAUCUAGGAUUACCAUAAAUUAAUUGUACUUGAGUAGGGUUAAGGAAAAUAAGUGAUCUUAGAAUAACCUUAACCACCUCGUGGUCAUCCCAUUUCUUGCUCCCGAGGUUGCGCACUUGAUUCACCAAGGUUUUGAACCGGUUGUACAUGUCUUGUGGCUCCUCCCCUUGGCGAAGACGGAAGCGACCGAGCUCCCCCUCGAUCGUUUCCCGCUUGGUGAUCUUGGUUAGUUCAUCACCCUCGUGCGCGGUCUUGAGCACAUCCCAAACUUCCUUGGCGCUCUUUAAUCCUUGCACCUUGUUGUACUCCUCCCUACUUAAAGAGGCGAGGAGUAUGGUUGUGGCUUGGGAGUUGAAGUGCUCGAUUUGGGCCACCUCGUCCUCAUCAUAAUCCUCAUCCCCUAUGGAUGGUACCUGUGCUCCAAACUCAACAACAUUCCAUAUACUUUUGUGGAGUGAGGUUAGAUGAAAUUUCAUUAAAUCACUCCACCUAGCAUAAUCUUCACCAUCAAAGGUUGGCGGUUUGCCUAAUGGAACGGAAAGUAAUGGAGUAUGUCUAGAAGUACGAGGAUAGUGUAAGGGGAUCUUACUAAACUUCUUGCGCUCAUGGCGCUUAGAAGUUAUGGAGGGCGCGUCGGAGCCGGAGGUAGAUGGCGAUGAGGUGUCGGUCUCGUAGUAGACCACCUUCCUCAUUUCUUUUUCUUGUCGCCACUCCGAUGCGACUUGUGGGAGGAGGCCUUCUUCUCCUUCCCUUUCUUUUUGUUGCGGGACUCUUCCGAUGAAGCCUUCCCGUGGCUUGUAGCGGGCUUGUCGCCGGUCUCCAUCUCCUUCUUGGCGUGUUCUCCCGACAUCACUUCGAGCGAUUAGGCUCUAAUGAAGCACCGACUCUGAUACCAAUUGAAAGUCGCCUAGAGGGGGGUGAAUAGGGCGAAACUGAAAUUUACAAAGUUAAUCACAACUAAAAGCCGGGUUAGCGUUAGAAAUAUAAUCAAUUCCGCGAGAGAGGGAGCAAAACAAAUCGCAAGCAAAUAAGGAGUGUGACACACGAAUUUGUUUUACCGAGGUUCGGUUCUCGCAAACCUACUCCCCGUUGAGGUGGUCACAAAGACCGGGUCUCUUUCAACCCUUUCCCUCUCUCAAACGGUCCCUCGGACCGAGUGAGCUUCUUCUUCUCAAUCAAACGAGAACAAAACUUCCCCGCAAGGGCCACCACACAAUUGGUGCCUCUUGCCUUGGUUACAAUUGAGUUGAUCGCAAGAAAGAAUCAAAGAAGAAAGAUAUCCAAGCGCAAGAGCUCGAAAGAACACAAGCAAAUCUUUCUCACUAAUCACUAAGGCGUUGUGUGGAAUUUGGAGAGGAUUUGAUCACUUGGGUGUGUCUAGAAUUGAAUGGUAGAGCUCUUGUAAGUGGUUGAAGUAGGAAAACUUGGAUGACUUGAAUGUGGGGUGGUUGGGGGUAUUUAUAACCCCAACCACCAAACUAGCCGUUUGGUGGAGGCUGCUGUCGUAUGGUGCACCGGACAGUCCGGUGCACACCGGACAGUGUCCGGUGCGCCAGCCACGUCACCAGGCCGUUGGGUUCCGACCGUUGGAGCUCUGACUGCUGGGCCCGCCUGGAUGUCCGGUGGCACACCGGACAUGCACUGUAGAGUGUCCGGUGUGCCACAUCGCGCGUGCCUGACUUCUGCACGCUCUGGCGCGCAUUUAAUGCUUCUGCAGGUGACCGUUGGCGCGAAGUAGUCGUUGCUCCACUGGCUCACCGGACAGUCCGGUGUACACCAGACACGUCCGGUGAAUUAUAGCGGAGCAAUUUCCCAAAGCUGGCGAGUUCCAGAGUCGCUCUUCCCUAGGGCACCGGACAGUCCGGUGAAUUAUAGCGGAGCGCCUCUAGAUUCUCCCGAAGGUGAAGAGUUCAGCGUGAAGUCCCCUGGUGCACCGGACACUGUCCGGUGCGCCAGACCAGGGCACACUUCGGUUAUCCCUUUGCUCUCUUGAUGAACCCAAUUCUUGGUCUUUUUAUUGGCUAAGUGUGAACCUUUAGCACCUGUAUAACUUAUACACUAGAGCAAACUAGUUAGUCCAAUUUAUUUGUGUUGGGCAAUUCAACCACCAAAAUCAUUUAGGAAAUAGGUGUAAGCCUAAUUCCCUUUCAACAAGGUUUCGUUAAAGUUGUUACGUACAAUACUUACAAACCGAACAAAUCUAUGAAGAAGUUUCAUGAUGGCAUGUGGAGGUCAACUAGGUGGUAAUUGUCACACGUGUGAAACUUGGACGAAACUUUGCCAACCUUUUAUCACAACCUCCACAAUGAUAUCAUGACAUCUCGACAAGUUUCAUGAUUUUCUGAUUCGUUUACUUUUUAUACAAUUUGAAAACAAUUGGACCGCAAGUUCAGGGUCAUGUUUCGUGAACUUGAUGUUCAAAAUUUCUUGUUCGUUACUGCAUAUGACCUCAACAUAUACUCAAUAACAUGAAAAUCAUUUUCUAUACAUUUUGUCCAUUAUGUGAAUGACUUGCAGAAAUUUUGCAUGAUUCAAAUGAAAAAUCUUUGAUUCUUCUUCUACUAACACGAGUUAUACUAAUAAGGGUAGACAUGCUAUAUUUAUGUUUGUUCCUGAAGGGGAAACCGUUCAAGUUGUUCCUGAAUAGCUUUCUUCAAAAGGGUUUCUGCUUGCUCGAUGAAUGUCUUACUAGAAGAUAUAAUUUCUUGGAAUUGAGGUUUAUUAUCUUUUAGGUGUUUACGUAACUCAUCCAAAAAUUUCUUUACCUGUUCAAUUUCUAACGAAUCAAGAUAUCCUCCCGUUUCGGUAUAAAUAGUAGCUACCUGCUCUUCCACUAGGGAGUGUUCGAUUGGGAUAUCAAGAAAAAAAUAAUUAAAUGAAAUAAAUUUACUAAAUAUACUAAACACCUCAAGAAAUGUGCCAAAAAAGAACAUGUAGUUCUAGAUGGCGUUGAAACAUAAUAGAAAAUGUUUAAGGUCAAAAUAAAAAAAA
rnacentral:lncRNA from 1 species